GACGAACGCUGGCGGCGUGCUUAACACAUGCAAGUCGUACGGUAAGGCCCUUUCGGGGGUACACGAGUGGCGAACGGGUGAGUAACACGUGAGUAACCUGCCCACAACUUUGGGAUAACGCUAGGAAACUGGUGCUAAUACUGGAUAUGUGCUCCUGCUGCAUGGUGGGGGUUGGAAAGCUCCGGCGGUUGUGGAUGGACUCGCGGCCUAUCAGCUUGUUGGUGGGGUAGUGGCCUACCAAGGCGGCGACGGGUAGCCGGCCUGAGAGGGUGACCGGCCACAUUGGGACGGAGAUACGGCCCAGACUCCUACGGGAGGCAGCAGUGGGGAAUAUUGCACAAUGGGCGCAAGCCUGAUGCAGCAACGCCGCGUGCGGGAUGACGGCCUUCGGGUUGUAAACCGCUUUCAGCAGGGACGAAGCUUUUUGUGACGGUACCUGCAGAAGAAGCACCGGCUAACUACGUG
rnacentral:rRNA from 1 species